rnacentral:lncRNA from 1 species
GUUCUUAGUUUGAGCGUGAGCAGCGUGCCAUUGUUGUCCAUAUAGAGAGGGGAGUAGUCACUGUUAACGCUUGAGCUUGAGCAGCGUGCCACCGUGAUGGAGUAGCCGUGCCACCGUGAGAACGCAAACGGAGUCUCUACGAUUUUGCCCUAGGUUUUCAUCUCGAUUCCUUUCUUUCUGUGUUGUGUAAUUUUGUUAUUGAUUCCAACUCUUUCUCGUUUUUAGACAAUGAGAUAUUAGAGAAUUUGUUUCACCAUAUUCAGUUGAGUGAUUUCCACAUGCUUCAACCUUAAACACAUUCCAAAAACUUGAAAAACCCUUCCAAUAGCGCCCUGAAUUUCCAAAAUUUCCCAAAUUUCCCAAAUGCUGCCCUCAGAAACGAAACCACAAAUUUAAGAACAAGCUCCUACACUGAUAGUCGUGGUUCUUCUUUGGUUCUUUCUUCCAAUUUACAUGCUACUUGUGCUCGCGGUAACAGUUCAUUCUUCUGUAGUUUUUUCUUCUACAGUUCGUUUUUAUUUCGAUUUUCUCAUUGGUUAGGGUUCAUGGUGACCUAAGUAGAGUUGAUCAUUCUCUUGUAAUUGCUUUUGUCACUAUGUUUGGACUAAUAUGCAUAUCUCUAUAUAUCACACCAUGCAUCUAUGACCUCCCUGUACCUCAAAUCAACUCAUAUGUAAUCAUACUCCUUGCCUUUUCUCCAAUAAACAAUUUUGUAGACUCUAUUUGACUAUUUUUAUAAUUAUAUACAUAUAUAUUCCCAUGGACAAUAUAUAUUGUUAUGAGCGUGGACAAUGCAUACUGGUGUUGUUGCCAUUAAUCAAAUCAGUCUUUAAUAAGAUGUUUGGUUUGGUGGAGAAUUAGAUUUAAAUCGAAGUUGGUUUAUAUAAAGGAAAUAAAAAAAAUCGAAGUUGUUCCUACCGACCAUGUUGUUUUUCCCUGUUUCUUUUUUCUUUUAUAAAUUAUCAUUUUCCACAUUUUUUAAUCUACUUUUUCUUAAAAAAUACUCAAAACUGUAACAAUAUUUGUGUAUUGAAGUUGCUGAAAUUUGUAUCAUUCUUAUAGGUAACCUUUUUUCUUCCUUUCUCUCAUGUUUGUUCUGUUAAAGUUUUCAUGAUUUAUCUUGAGAAAUGAAGUUGCUUGCUAAGUGUUUGAGCUACAUUUCUAAGGUUGAAAUAUUGAGUACUAGUUGAUUUCUAAUGUACCCUUAAACAAUAUCCAUCAUAAUUUUAAAAUGAUAGGGCAAUUUGUGAUGCUUUACUUUUUUUAAUUUGUUUAUAGCAGUGUAUUUGUAAAGGAGCUAGUUAGUAUACUUUGAAUGUUUUGGAAGGAAAUUUUAUUGAAGUUUUUUAUCAAAUCUUUGGAGUCAUUAUUUAUGACAAUAAUCAUGCUCUUCCAGAGUCUGAAGAUGUAGAGUAACAGCUCUGAAGAUGUAGAGUAACAGCUGUGUUUUCAGGUGGAAAACAAAUAUGGCUUAACAGUUCUUAUUUGUUUGCAGAUCACAACCAUAAUCAAUUCAGAAUAGAAGAAUAGUGCUUUGAGGUGAGUGUUCAAACUAUUUUGUUAAAGAAAUCAGCAAAUGAAAUGUUAUGGUAAACAUUGAAAGCAAAGUUGAAAGUUGAAUGUUAUAAUAAAAGGGCAUUCUUUUCUUAUUUUAUUAUUAUUGAUAACAGUUCUUACACAGGACAAGUUAUUUUCUAUCAAAUAUUCUAACAAUACUAUACUGCUUAUAGGUCCAAACUAUCAAUUCUGUGUGAUGCUGAGGUUGCUCUCAGGUACCAUUAUUUCUCCUCCUUCAACUUUCCCUUUUCUUCUUCUUAAAUUAAUGUGUGAAUGCUUAUGCUUCCUGUAAUUUUAGCACCCCUCUUGCAACCAAGACUAGUUCCUUUAAUAUGUGACCUUGUAAAUUUCAUGCAUACCUAUAAAAUUUCACUUGUAAUGAUCCGUGUGAAAAGGUUAUUCAUAAUUUUGUGUAGGUUUAUGUGCAUGAUGUGACUACUGUUAGUUCCCUGGAAUAUAUGUAGCUGAAGGUAAUUGAGACUUUAUGAAAUUAUCAUUAAUUUAAAAUGUGUUAUCAAGGAUUGAAAUUGACCACAGUGUGCGUGUGACAAUUCCUAGAAAAGAAUUAUGAAUAAGAAAUGAGUGAAUGUUAAAGAAUAAAGAGGCAUAAUGUUAGCAGUAAUUAUCUAGUGUUGUGCAGGUUGUUAGAAUUCACAUAUUCAGAUAUUCAGAUAUUCAGAUAUAAAAUUAGAAUGAUUAGAAUUCACAUAUUCAGAUUGUUAGGUCUAAGUUAAUAUAACUGUUUCCAAAGGUAAUAAAAUGAUUAGCAGCUGCAGUUGAUGAGGGAAAUUGCAUCAUGUCUUUGCUAUUCUCAUCACUUUGCAUCAUGGAAAUUAGAGGUGUGCUAAAGGAGAAAAAUCUCAUUCUUAUUAUUCUCAUUCAUACCCUUUUACAGUAGUUUCUUAAUUUUAUUCUUUUCUUCACAUGUAUAAGUUUUAUCUUAAACUAUUCUUCUCCUUUUAUGCAUGAAACAUGUCUCCAAGUAACAUUAUUAUACUUUGUUUCAGAUCUAGAACAACCUAUUUGCUCGAUUACUGGUUUGCCUGCCAAGUAAGAUCUCUUUUAUCAACUUGGUAGUUCUUGCAUUUUUCUUUUCUAAUGUUGCAGUUCUUGGUUAAAAUUGUCUUUGGAUAGCUUGUAUUCUUGUUAUUUAUGUUAUUAGUACUUGAGUAUUUUUUUGGGAUGGGAAGUUUGGAUAUGCUUUCCUUGCAUAGAACAAUCGGUUUUAUGUUAUCUACUGUUAAGGAAUUCUUUAGUCUAUUUCCACUAUACCCACAUAUUGUUAAGGAAUUCUCUCUGGAAUAAUAUAGGUAUCGUGAUCCAAAGACUGGCCUGCCAUAUAACUCUUUUCCUUGUAUUAACUAAUUCUGUUUUAGUCCACUUAUUGCACAUCACUCAUAAUGCCAUUUGUAUGUACUUCAACCAUACUUUAUUUUUUUGGUCCAUAAUUGUUCUUUUGUGGGUUUGGAACUUGAUCUUGAGCAUUAUGUAUAUGCAGCUAACUUGACAGAGAAUCCAAGGUCACCGGUUAGUGGGUCUGGCAGCAAUUCAUCUCCCCAUCAAGGUUUUACUUUCAAAACUGCAUUCUGUAAUUAUGAUAAUUGACUAAUUAAAAACAUAAAUUGGUCCAUUGAUCCCUUUACUAAAUUUUUGCUGCUUACUUUCAACCUGUUCAUUUUUUCACCAUGAAUCCUCACUUUUUUUUGUAAUGUAUCUGCAAUUGGAUGUACAUAAGAAUUUAAUUGGUUCAAGAUUAAACAUGUCUUCUGCGCUUCGUAUUUUUAUAUUAGGUGAUAACAUGAUUGUACUUAUUCAUAAUAACUAAUUAGACUUACAGACAAGGUAAAGAAUCAUCAAAUUUUUUUCUACAGGUUUUAUUGCUAAUAAAUAUUUUAUGUAUUUUUUCUUAUUGUUUUCAUUUGUUUCUCAUUUUUUUUAGACUGCUUUUGGUAUUUGGUAUAUGAAGAACCUAUAAUCUACUGGGCUGCCGAUUUUCAAUGGAAUGCCUUAAAAAACAACUGUUCCUAAGAUCCUGAAUAUAACCACCAAGAUAUCACUAUACAUGUAUGAUCUGCCCUUUUGUUGCCUUUGUUUUGGAAGAAAAGACUAAAAGGGGCUUAUUUUGCAGCCAAACAAGCUUCUCUUGUCUCCCCCAUUUUACCUUCAUUUCCACAUAUGUAAAUGUCUAAAACCCUUAAUUUCUGCAAAUUUCUACCGGUAAAAAGAUAAGGAAAAUUCUACAUAAAUCAUUAUUUGGUUAAAUUUCUUGGUAGUUCUUGUAGUUUAACAAAUUUUACAUUUUAAUUCUUAUAAAUUUUACAUUUUAAUUCUUAUAUGAAAGACCAUCAAUUUUAGAUUUUAU